GUUUGCCUGUGUGUGGAUGGUGUACAUCUCCAGGGACAGAUAUGUUUGCCUGUGUGUGGAUGGAUGUUUCAGGCACAGGUAUGUUCAACA
rnacentral:pre_miRNA from 1 species